GUCGAGAAUAAUUCACAAUGGACGAAAGUCUGAUGGUGCAACGCCGCGUGGAGGAUGACGGUCUUCGGAUUGUAAACUCCUGUCAUCCGGGAGUAAGACCUGGCUGUGAAUAGCAGACAGGGUUGAUAGUACCGGAAGAGGAAGGGACGGCUAACUUCGUGCCAGCAGCCGCGGUAAUACGAAGGUCCCAAGCGUUGUUCGGAAUCACUGGGCGUAAAGGGUGCGUAGGCGGCGUGGUAAGUCAGAUGUGAAAUCCCGGGGCUCAACCUCGGAACUGCAUCCGAUACUGCCAUGCUUGAGGGCUGGAGAGGUAACUGGAAUUCUCGGUGUAGCAGUGAAAUGCGUGGAUAUCGAGAGGAACACUCGUGGCGAAGGCGAGUUACUGGACAGCAUCUGACGCUGAGGCACGAAGGCCAGGGGAGCGAAAGGGAUUAGAAACCCGGGUAGUCC
rnacentral:rRNA from 1 species